rnacentral:rRNA from 1 species
AGCGAACGUUAGCGGCGGGCCUAACACAUGCAAGUCGAACGGAUCGUAGCAAUACGGUCAGUGGCGCACGGGUGAGUAACGCGUAGAUAAUCUACCUUCCAGCGGGGGAUAACGUUCCGAAAGGAACGCUAAUACCGCAUAAGACCACGGAGUCUUCGGGCUUUGGGGGAAAAGGUGGCCUCUCCUUGGAAGCUAUCACUGGAAGAUGAGUCUGCGUCCCAUCAGCUAGUUGGUGAGGUAAUGGCUCACCAAGGCUAAGACGGGUAGCUGGUCUGAGAGGAUGAUCAGCCACACUGGUACUGGAACACGGACCAGACUCCUACGGGAGGCAGCAGUGGGGAAUAUUGGGCAAUGGGCGGAAGCCUGACCCAGCCACGCCGCGUGAGUGAUGAAGGCCUUCGGGUUGUAAAGCUCUGUGGGAAGGGGCGAAAAACUGCGAAGAGAAUAUCUAGCAGGUUGACGGUACCUUCUUAGCAAGCACCGGCUAACUCUGUGCCAGCAGCCGCCGUAA